rnacentral:rRNA from 1 species
UUCGNNNUUAGAGUUUGAUCCUGGCUCAGAAUGAACGCUGGCGGCGUGCCUAACACAUGCAAGUCGGAUGUGCCGCAAGGUGCAUGGCAGACGGGUGAGUAACGCGUGGGGAACCUACCUCUUUGUGGGGAAUAACGYUCCGAAAGGARUGGUAAUACCGCAUGAGACCMAUGGCUGGGAUGUUGUKGGUGAAAGCUGGGGACCGCAAGGCCUGGCGCAAGGAGAGGGUCCUGCGUCUGAUUAGCUAGUUGGUGGGGUAACGGCCUACCAAGGCGACGAUCAGUAGCCGGCCUGAGAGGGUGAUCGGCCACACUGGAACUGAGACACGGUCCAGACUCCUACGGGAGGCAGCAGUGGGGAAUUUUGCGCAAUGGGCGAAAGCCUGACGCAGCAACGCCGCGUGAGUGAUGAAGGCUUUCGGGUCGUAAAGCUCUGUCGAGGGGAAAGAAGUGUACUUUGGCUAAUAUCCAUUGUACUUGACGGUACCCCUAAAGGAAGCACCGGCUAACUCCGUGCCAGCAGCCGCGGUAAUACGGGGGGUGCAAGCGUUGUUCGGAAUUAUUGGGCGUAAAGCGCGUGUAGGCGGUCUGAUUAGUCUGAUGUGAAAGCCCUGGGCUCAACCCAGGAAGUGCAUUGGAUACUGUCAGACUUGAAUACGGGAGAGGGUAGUGGAAUUCCUAGUGUAGGAGUGAAAUCCGUAGAUAUUAGGAGGAACACCGGUGGCGAAGGCGGCUACCUGGACCGAUAUUGACGCUGAGACGCGAAAGCGUGGGUAGCAAACAGGAUUAGAUACCCUGGUAGUCC